AUCAAAACGCCUCUAAUUCGAACAAGGGCAUGCAAAUGAUAUUUUGGAAGAAACCCUAAAAAGUCUUUAUUCUUCAUUUUGUUUUCUCAGAGAAGUUCUCUUCUACCGCCAUGCACAUGCCGCAUCUAUUGUAACUGGAAGUGACAUUUCCAACCGAGACUUGACAGGGUUUUGAACUAAUCUUCUGAUAGCUCUAACUGGGAUUUCUUUACAUGGAUUCAACUUGCUAUUUGCAUGAGAUUUUGAAGUGUUGACUGUAAAUUUCAUAAAGACCCAUGUGUUCUUAUUCCAAACACCUCUCAUUGAUAGUUGUACAUAUAUCAGUUUUUCCAGUCAUUGGCUUUUCAUCAUGAAUCUAGGACUGUGUAAAUGGUUAGGCAUUCAUUACCAGGGCUGCCUUUUCUUCACGGGUUCUCUCUCACUAUGUUGAUAAGACUAUCUUCAUUUGCUCAUUGCAUACUUUAUGGAAGAUCAUGGCUUCAAAUCUGUAAGGACAGAUUCUUAGGUCUCUGACCUUAACAAAGAAAAGGUUGUAUAUUUUUUAUUUAGGAAUCUUGCUUCUUUUUCAACUUUGAGGCUACUCUUCUUGUAAUCGUAUUUACCAGUGAAUUCAUUAUAAAACACUCUUAUCAUAGGCUCUGAUUUUGGCUCUUACUAUGACUAUGUAUUUGGCUAAUAUAACAAUCUACAUCUUUGACUCCUGAUAAAAGGAUCUCUGCCAUAGCUAUAGUCAGUGUCAUUAUUCAAUAUUGCACGGUGUUAAAAGGUAAUGUAUAUAACUUAUUGAUAACAAAACCAAUCACUGUCACAUGACUGCUUUGAAUCUUUAUAUUUGCUCAUAGACUGCUUUAUUAUGAACCUUUUUUGAGAUCAAUUAUUAAAAUACAAGAAUCAUCUCAUUGAUCAUAGAAUCCAUGACUAAGGUACUUUGAAAGACACUUCUCUUGAUAGUGAUGAGCCUGAUGUGACUGUAUUUGACAGUCACUGUGUGCUAUUGAUAUUAGUGACUGCAUUAUAACUAUGAUCAAAUUAUUUGGGAAGGUUGUGAUGAUCUAACUCAGUCUUACUAUAUGAGACAUAGUGAGUUUUGUGAUUACUUCUUAUGGCUAUGAUAUUGUGAUCUCUUAUCUUGGACUAUGGAUGAUGUCCUUUGACUGUCAUAAGCCUCCCUACGGUGUUUUGCUAGGAUUUCUCACAUAUUUCUCUAAUCAUAUAACUAGUCCACUGGUCUUAGUUGUACUGAACUUUCAUUGAUGCUUAGGCCAUCCCUGCCUUUGAAUGAACACUUUGCCAUUUCACUGCCUUUUCUUAUGACUGCCUAUUGGUAGCUUUGAUACUAAGAUUUGGAUUAGUAUUUUCACUAUUUUACGCAUAAUUUGAGUAUAGCAUAGCACUAAUAUGAAUGUCUUUAUAUAUAUGACUACUUCAAAGCCCCAAUAAAUGUGCUUACUGUGAUAUUUUCUUCAUAAGUUCAUGAUGUGUGGCUGGUAGUAACUGGAUCUUUUCUUUUAUUUCUCUUUUGUAGUUAGUAUGGUGACCGCAAACUUAAAUUUUAGUCAUUGUUGCAUAUCUCCAUGAGUCAUUGUCCAUGUAACCAUUUUUGUUAUGGGUUGCUCACUGUUAUCAGCUUGAUAAUCUCACUGUGCUUUGAUCUUGUCACUAUCAUUGCUUGCUUGGUCUAUCUAAUCAUUAUUCAUCUAAGCAUUGUGACCUUUAUUGUUGCUCAUGAUCUUUCUUUUGACAGUGGAUAACUUCCUAUCACUAUAUCUUGGUAUAGGUAUGAGCUCUUUCAAUACAUAAUGAUUGUCCCUUAUUUGUAUUGCUAUCUUUUGCCAGAAAAACCUCUUGUCUUAUUCUUCCAAUCUGUUAUAAUGUCCUCCAUUUCUUUCAUUUUUCUAGAUAGGGUUGUGAUAGUGCAUUAGGGGAAUUACAGUUGCAUUCCUUUCACUAUUUUGUUACUAUAGAGUUCCCUAUAGGUCACUCUUUUGCUACUUUAUUCUAUUCACUGUUAUUAUGGUCUAUCAUCUCAUUUCCCAAAACUCAUAAUAUUGAUCAUGAAUGGACUUUGUUGCUCUCUAUUGGUCUUUUUAAUGAUAACUGUUGAUGAAGCCUAUAGCAUAACUAUCUUUAUGAUUUCCUUCUUAUUCCUUUGGGUGUAACCUUGUAGCUUAUGUGAGUUGGCUUUGUAGUACCCCUGCCCUAAUCAGAUUGUAAAACCUGGUUUGACCUUGGUUGACUUUUUAAGUGGCAUUCUUGGAUGGUUGAUUUACCAUGUAGUAAUGUUAUAGUCAGAUAUUAUGAUUAUUGUGCGUACCUGUAAAUUUUCUUUUCGCAUCAAUUCUUAUGUAAGAUUAUUUGUUCUUCUGUUUCAUGUUAUUAAUCUUGGGCUAACACUUUCAUUCAAUAUAUAUGUAUGCAUGUGUGGUUCAUGGUUGCAGGAGAUUGCAGGUACAGUACCACAUAGGUACAAGGUUCAUCUCCACUUGGAUUCACAGGUUUGAGUGUACCUCAUCGGUCCUAAGGAAUUGGAUUGGGUAGUCAUAAGACCCUCGUCCUACCCUAGUCAUGCUCAAGUGAGCAUCGUCAAUCAUCCAUUAGUUUCCCCUUUGGUUGGGUAUGCGGAUCGUGUAUUUGUUUGGCUUUCUUGCAUUGCGUGUUGUGCGUGUGGUAAAAUUGAUUAUUUAAUCCCAAGUAUUUAAUUAGAUUGAAUGUGUUUUUACGCAUUAGUAAAUUAAGGGACUAAAUUAAAUAGGACCCUUUUGUGUGAUUAAUCAAUAAUUAGAAUUGCUCAAUUUAUGUUUGUAGCAAGUUGAUUAAAUAGUUAUUUUUAAAUGAUGAAGUUAUUUAGUAUAUGCAUUUUGGAAGGAAAGGUUAAAUAGUAUUCGAAAAUAGAAAUAUUUUACACUCUUUGGCAUUUUGAAAUAGAAAUGUUAGUUUUAAUUAAAUUAAGAAAAUCAAUUUUAGAAGAAAAAGCAAGUUUUGCAUAUUUGAAUUGUUUGGGAAAAAUGAUUUUUCCUUUUUAUUUGGAGGAAAAUAUUUUAAAUGCAAAAAAAUGAUUUUUGGUCAAACAAUUUCCCUUUUUAACCUAGGUUUUGAAAAUAUUUCUGGAGAGUUAUUUUUGGAAUGAAAUUUUGGGCAUUUGUGGGAGAAGGAUUUUCUUGAGCUUGGAGGCUGGGCUCUUCAUCAAAUCAUUCCCAAGGUUGCUGAAAAAGGUUUGAAAAUCUCAUAUAUUUUGUGGAAUAUGGAAGAGUUGUAGUUAAAUCUCAAAUUUAAACCCUCCUUUCUUUCAUUCCCAACCUCCAGAUCAAAUUUUGGUUGCUCAAAUUGAUCUCAAAAUCAAAAAAAUGGGGUUGGUUGUUCAUAAUAAAAUUUUGUUAAAACUCCAAUGAAUGUUUUCAGAUUCAAGUUUUAAAUUGGGAAAUUA